rnacentral:piRNA from 1 species
UCCGGUUUGAAUGCGUGGGAAGACGAU